rnacentral:rRNA from 1 species
CCUACGGGAGGCAGCAGUGAGGAAUAUUGGUCAAUGGACGCAAGUCUGAACCAGCCAAGCCGCGUGAGGGAAGAAGGCACUGUGUAUCGUAAACUGCUUUUGUAAGGGGAUAAAGGCAGAUACUUGUCUCUGUCUGAGGGUAUCGUAAGAAAAAGGAUCGGCUAACUCCGUGCCAGCAGCCGCGGUAAUACGGAGGAUUCAAGCGUUAUCCGGAUUUAUUGGGUUUAAAGGGUGCGUAGGCGGUCGGAUAAGUUAGAGGUGAAAUCCCGGGGCUCAACUUCGGAAGUGCCUCUGAUACUGUUCGGCUAGAGAGUAGUUGAGGUAGGCGGAAUGUAUGGUGUAGCGGUGAAAUGCUUAGAGAUCGUACAGAACACCGAUUGCGAAGGCAGCGUACCAAGCUACUUCUGACGUUGAGGCACGAAAGCGUGGGGAGCAAACAGGAUUAGAUACCCUAGUAGUC